rnacentral:lncRNA from 1 species
AUACUCUGGUUUCUCUUCAGAUCGCAUAAAUCUUUCGCCUUUUACUAAAGAUUUCCGUGGAGAGGAACAAUUCUGAGUCUUAGAUCAAUUUUUUGAGGCCUUAUUUUAAACUAAGGCUACAUUUAACUAUGUGGAAAAAUAGAAUUUUAAAUUGUUGGAGUAUUGUCUUAAGCAAGCAACAAACUUGAAACUCAACUACUAGAGCUGUUUGCUUUAAAACCGAGAUUUUGAAAAAUAGUUUGAGGAUAAGCGGUGGCUUUUUUUUCCGGGUAAUUAUAAAAUGGUAGUAUAUGCUUUUGUAAUUAUUAUAUGUAAGUGGGGUUUUUUACACUUGUUUUUCAAUUUUUUUUUUCAUUAUUUCUAGGCUAUUAAUCGUAUGAGUUUGUUUCUUAUGUAGUGAAGUACUUGUACACACAUGUUGGCUUUCCUAUGUAACUGUAGAAAGCUGAGGCAGGAUAAUUGUAUAAUUCAAACUUAAUCUGGUUUACAGAUUUUGAUGAAACCGUCUCCAAAAAAAGCAGAGGAGGGAUAUCGCUCCGUGUUAGUAGUAAACAAGUAGAAUUUUUGUUGGUUAUGAAGUAUAAUUAAUUCCUAUCUAUUUAUAGCUUCUCUUUUUGCUCUUGUAGAGAUUUUAGUCUUAGUAUCAGGUCUGUUUUUCAUUAUUUUUGUUUUGUUUUGUUUAAGCAGAUUACUAUGGACUGAGACCUCUGAAACCCAAGCCAAAAUCAACGUCUCCUCCUCUAGAUUAUUUCUACGCGUGUCUGAUCACAGCAAAGAGAAGCUGGGACAGUGAGCCUGAGGGCAGAGCCUGAGCAGACUGAAGCAGCCCCCACCCCUCCUGGGAAGCGGGCCCACUGAAACUUGCAGACCUGGGACAGAUGAAAGACCAGAGGAUGUGGCUGGGGAAGAGGUCAGGACGUGCAGGUUCUCAUCCUGCAAUGCCACCCACUGGCUUUGUUACCUCUACAGCCCAAGCCUAGGACCCUCUAGGGGCAAGGGUUCCCUGUCUGUUGGGUGAUUUAGGUAAUCUCCAGAUUUCCCCCAGGCUCUGACAGUGCAAGAUGCUCAACUCUGGGCUUAGGGAGUGGAGGAGAUAGGAGUGUGAGCAAAUGAGACAGCACAACCUGUGGUAAGAGCUGCCCUGCCUUUGGUUAGGAGGCUGAGCCAGGUUCCCAUUUGCUAAUAUUUCAUCGGUUUUUUGUUUGUUUUGCAGUACUGGGGAUGGAACCCAGGGCCUUGCCACUGAGCUUCAUCCCCACUCCUUUUUAUUUGAAACAGGGUCUGAGGUGCCCAGGCUUAGUUGAACUUGGGAUCCACCUGCCUCAGCCUCCUGAGUCUCAUAUUACAGACAACAUCUCAAAAAGUCACUGUCAUUACCCGGGCUGGGCUCAAACUUAUGAUCCUCCCACCUCAGCCGUCCAGAGUGUUGGG